ensembl:lncRNA
GGGCUGAAGGGUGAGGCUGGUACUAAAGGAGGCAUGGGGCCUUAUGGCACACACGGACCAGUAGGACACACUUUAUUCAUGGUCAUAGACUCAUUGGUUUGUGUGUUCAGGGUGAGACAGGAGAGCCUGGUUUACCUGGAGAUACAGGAAUUAAAGGCGAGAAGGUGUGAAAUGUCAAUCUUGUCUUUACUUUUUGUCUUCUCACCUGUCUGUAACCAUUGAACCACAAAUUUUUCUGUAAGGCUUCAGAGGUUUCCCAGGUCGAAUAGGAAGUCCGGGACUGGAUGGAGAACAGGUAUUUUUGGGUUUUUUUUUGGAUAAAUUUCAUCUUGAAUUGGAAAUUGGAUCAUUUACUUAUUUUCAUAUCCUUCUGAACCUGUUUUACUGGAGUAGAAAUAGAGAGAGAGAGAGAGAGAGAGAGAGAGAGAACAGAACAGAAGCAUAUUGCAAUCAGAAGCUGUCAAGCUUCAAAACAAACUAAAACCAUAAAAAUUACUAACUGGAAAUAAAAACAAAACCUGCAAUUAAAACAAAAACUAAUAAAAAUGACAGAAGUGCAUAACAAAAAAUUUUUAAAAAAUUAUCUACAUUUAAAAAACAAACAAAUUCUAAAUAUCAUUAAAUAGUCUAUAAAUAAAUAAUAUUAAAAUAACAUUUAUCAUGUCACAACAAACAAUAGAAACCCAUACUUGCAUUAUCAAAUGUCAAAUUUUAAUAUAUGUACAUGAGGGGAUUUCAUUUUAGAUAACUGUUAUUCGAAAUAAUCUUUUCCCUGUCAAAUAUAUUCAUUUUAAUUCAUUUAAUUCAUCAAAAUCAUUUAUUUAACCCAUUCUUCUGCAGGGUACAGCCGGUUUCACAGGGUUUAAGGGAUCUCCUGGUGCACCAGGAGCUAAUGGGGCUCUGGGUCAGCCUGGUCCGGUUGGACCUAAAGGUGAAGUGGGACCAAAGGAAAGUAGAUACUCCUGAUGGUGAACACCAAUGAUCCAGAUGAUGGGAGUAUCCUAAGGGAAGAGGGAAGAACAGAUUCUGCCUCUCCGUUCUUGCUCACCCACCCCAAAGUGUGGGAUGAAGAGUCAGAGGACGAGACCACUACAGUUCAUCCUGCUGUUUCAGAGUCUGAGCCAACAUUAGCAUAUGGCAAUGAUACAAGAGCCACUACUGAGGGAGAUGGAGAGCAGGAAGAAAAGAGACGUGCACUCAAACGCCACUCAGGAGAAUGCCGUCCUUUUGUGUAUGAUGGCAGUGGAGGAAAUAGGAACCGCUUCAGCUCCAAAUGGGACUGUGAGAGUCAAUGUAUUCUGGGGAGGAGAGGUAAAGUGCCAAUCAGAAUGCAGGUUUCAGGUUCAGAGGUGAUUGUUCAAAUGAUGCUAAAGACAUUCAGGUUUAUUUUAUUUAUUUAUUAGCAAAUUCAUUUAAUUACAUUUUCUAAUUUAUUUACAGAUUCUGGAUACUGGGGAGAAAUGACUAUUUUUAACAGCUAAACUGCAAUUUAUCUGACUAAAAAUGCUAUUUUUAUCCAUCCUAUAUUUAUAUUAGUUUAUCGCAGCUUUAGAUUUAGAUUCUAUAUCAUAUUUACAUUUCACUUCUAUAGCACCACACAUUGUUGCACUUGUAGUGAUACAUGCUUACCUAUGAAUUUCUUACAAAUAUGCCAUGUUUUUAUUUAAAAAUGUUCUUAAUGUCACUGUUUUUAAACUAGUAUGUGAGACAAUUAAAACAAUAAAAUGAAUAUAUUUUUGAAUGAGCUAUAUAGC